UACGUAGGUGGCAAGCGUUGUCCGGAUUUACUGGGUGUAAAGGGCGUGUAGCCGGGAAGGCAAGUCAGAUGUGAAAUCUGGAGGCUCAACCUCCAAAUUGCAUUUGAAACUGUUUUUCUUGAGUACUGGAGAGGCAGACGGAAUUCCUUGUGUAGCGGUGAAAUGCGUAGAUAUAAGGAGGAACACCAGUGGCGAAGGCGGUCUGCUGGACAGCAACUGACGCUGAGGCGCGAAAGCGUGGGGAGCAAACAGG
rnacentral:rRNA from 1 species